rnacentral:lncRNA from 1 species
CUUUUUUUUUCUUUUCCUAGGCUUGUCAGUGACCAGGUUGCCUGAAGCUGAUAGUUUUUGAGAUCAGAGAUCCCUGAGCUUACUCGAAAGCUCUCUGUUGGUGAAAUACAGAAAAGUUGCUUCUAUGGUAAAAGAACUCAUGGGAGUCACCCAGAUGCCAGAUACCACCAUAACCUCGGCAAACAU